rnacentral:lncRNA from 1 species
AUGGUGUCUCACCUUCUUCAUCCCAGUCAUCCCUUUAGUAAUGCAGAUGUAAGGAGGGAUUUUCAUAGGAGUAACAAUCGGGAGGCUGUGUCCCGCCCUCUUCGGCCCCAGGUCCUCGGGCUGACCCCGCCCCGCCCCCAGCCUUCCGCCGUCUCCGGCCCGGGCCCUCUCGGCCGCGCCCUCCCCUGCUGGUGCCGCUGCCGCCAUCACAGCGCCAGAAAGAACACAAUAUGCCUGAGGAAUUCCCUUUCACCAACAAAUGAGUUUGGCUGUUUCCUUUUUGCUUUCAAAUAGCUAGCUCUCUUUCAACUGUAAAGAGACCACAUUUUCAACUGUAAAAUUGGCUUUUCCUGUAAGUGGACUAUCAUCAUCUGGGGGAGCCAUCCUCUACCAACCAGCAGACCAAGACCGAGACCCUAGACUGACAAAUUUCACACAUUCCCACUGCCAAAAACACAUAGAUAUUCCCAGUUCUAAACUGCAGUGUUUCACUUUGAUAUAGGGGAAGAGACGCAGCUCCCAAACCUACUAGGCAGCGAAACACGAGUUCAUGUUCUCUAAAAUCAAAGAAUGUAUUCUAGAAACAGCAGAGGUUAAGAGUAGGAAAAAUGUGUUGAUCAAAAGAGAGCUUCUGUUAGGGACCUGACGCCGCCAUCACAGGCUGUGCUCUCCUGGUGCUCCUUGGCUCUUAAAAUGACGUCGAGCUCUUAUCUUUAGUUUCCCUCCCCGCAAACCCACAGCUGUCCGGAGGAGUUACACCUCAAUUUCUGCAGGCCUGAGCCCAUAAAGGGCAACCUGGCCCGAGAUAGGUUAAAAGGAGUCCACUCCUCAUGAAUAAGCAACAGCCCAGCCCCAGACAAUAAAGGGACCUUCGUGGCUUUGUUCCUCUUCUUCCUCUGUCCCCUCCCUGACCUGCCGUCCGGGAUAAAGGGCCCGGGCGGACCUCUCUCUCGGUGUGCGGCCUGGUUGUUGACGUCACUGUUCCUCUACAGCUUCUAAGAGAGACCGAAGGGGGACCGCAAAGUGCACUGCCCACCCCCCACUUCUCAAAGAUGUUUUUAUACAGCAGAGCCGUGGGGUGAGGCGGGUACAGACCCAGAGGAAAAUGACAAGGUGGGCAUGAGGUGGGACGAAACCAUGACCGACCAGUAAGAUCACAGCACAGUCACCCCGCGCUGGUCCUGCCUCACUGCCUACAAGAUACCUAAUUAAUUACCUAUCUGCAAUUAUUUCACUGGAUACCUGUUGUGCCCAAGUUGCGAAAUCCCCAAGAAGACCACCAG